AAUGAACGCUGGCGGCGUGCUUAACACAUGCAAGUCGUACGAGAAAUCUUUAGCUUGCUAGAGAGAGUAAAGUGGCGCACGGGUGAGUAACGCGUGGAUAAUCUACCCUUGAAUCGGGGAUAACAUUGCGAAAGCGAUGCUAAUACCGGAUGAUAUCAUAAAAGCUUCGGCUUUAAUGAUCAAAGAUGACCUCUACCUGUAAGUUGUUGUUUGAGGAGGAGUCCGCGUACCAUUAGCUUGUUGGUAGGGUAACGGCCUACCAAGGCCACGAUGGUUAGCUGGUCUGAGAGGAUGAUCAGCCACACUGGAACUGACACACGGUCCAG
rnacentral:rRNA from 1 species